GUGCAGCACAUAUAUUAAAAUUGGAAUGAUACAGAGAUUAGCAUGACCCUUGUACAAGGAUGACAUGCAAAUCCACAAAGUGUUCCAUACUUUU
rnacentral:snRNA from 1 species